GUGCAAAUAAGUUUUACAGAGGUAGAGCUACUGAUUGGAUGCGGGGGCUUCACCGCCUACCAAUUCCUGACAAACUCCGAAUGCUAUAAAAUGUUAAUCAGCAGUGAGGGCAUGGGUGCUAAGGUCCAUGUCCGAGAGGGAAAGAACCCAGACCAUCAGCUAAGGUCCCCAAAUGAUAGUUAAGUUGAAAA
rnacentral:rRNA from 1 species